rnacentral:rRNA from 1 species
AUUGAACGCUGGCGGCAGGCUUAACACAUGCAAGUCGAGCGGGGUGAUGGUGCUUGCACUAUCACUUAGCGGCGGACGGGUGAGUAAUGCUUAGGAAUCUGCCUAUUAGUGGGGGACAACAUCUCGAAAGGGAUGCUAAUACCGCAUACGUCCUACGGGAGAAAGCAGGGGAUCACUUGUGACCUUGCGCUAAUAGAUGAGCCGAAGUCGGAUUAGCUAGUGGGUGGGGUGAAGGCCUACCAAGGCGACGAUCUGUAGCGGGUCUGAGAGGAGGAUCCGCCACACUGCGACUGAGACACGGCCCAGACUCCUACGGGAGGCAGCAGUGGGGAAUAUUGGACAAUGGGGGGAACCCUGAUCCAGCCAGGCCGCGUGUGUGAAGAAGGCCUUAUGGUUGUAAAGCACUUUAAGCGAGGAGGAGGCUCUUUUGGUUAAUACCCAAGAUGAGUGGACGUUACUCGCAGAAUAAGCACCGGCUAACUCUGUGCCAGCAGCCGCCGUAA